rnacentral:rRNA from 1 species
UACGUAGGGGGCAAGCGUUGUCCGGAUUUAUUGGGCGUCAAGAGCUCGUAGGUGGUUCGGUAAGUCGGAUGUGAAAUCUCCAGGCUCAACCUGGAGGGGUCAUUCGAUACUGCCGUGACUAGAGUUCGGUAGGGGAGUGUGGAAUUCCUGGUGGAGCGGUGAAAUGCGCAGAUAUCAGGAGGAACACCCGUAGCGAAGGCGGCACUCUGGGCCGAUACUGACACUGAGGAGCGAAAGCGUGGGGAGCGAACAGG